GGAGGGCAGACCUCAAGGAGCCAGGAGGGGCCACCGGGAGGGCCGAAGUGGCCGCAGGGCUCCCUGCCUCCCCCAGCUGCAGGGCCUGGCGAGGCUGAGCGCGGGGCCAGCUGGAGGCCCAGGGGUGGUGUCCGCAGACCUGGCCGCUGUGCACCAGGGGCCGCUGGAGCUGGAUGACAUCCAGUGACCGGCUGCUUCCCGAGGACUGGCCUUGGCUCACCCCGUGUCCCUCUGCCUGGAAUUCCCCUGGCGUCUUCCCAGCCUGACCUCAGCUUGGGGGCCACUUCUUCCUGAAGGCUCCUGAAUGUCCAGCUGGACAGUCCCCCUGAAUGGAUUCCACUGGAAUGACCACUGAGCAAGGGGACCUUCCUGGAGCCAUCAUAUUCACAAUGCCCAGCAAACAGUAGGUGCUCAAUAAACAUCUGUCUCACAAAC
rnacentral:lncRNA from 1 species